AAUUUACAUUUUAAAUGACACUAGUGGAAAUACUUUUAUCUUAUGAGUUAAUGUUGGUGCUUUAAACCCCCUCACGAUCAGCAGAGGGCAGCACAGCCCCGCAGGUUCUUCUGAUGAGGAAGACUUCUCUGACUCCAGGACUGAAUAUGGAAUGAAACAACUCUUCUUCAUGGUUGUGAUCUCGGCUGCUUGUCGUCCAUCUUUCUUCCCGCUGCCUUAAAUCAAAAUGGCGGUUGCUUCCUUCACGGCCGGAGGUGAGCUGCCGUUGAACUGCGUUUAAAAGAUUUAAAAGUCGAUAAUUGUGAUUAAACUGUCGUAUGUUGGUUGAUAUUGUGUCCGACUCGCCCUGUGCGUUGAGUCUUACUGUAAUUUGAGGCAAAUGUUUUAUUUAAUGAAUCGCGGUAAAAAGCCUGAAGGCUAAUGUUAGCAUGCUAGGCGGCCCCAGUACAGAGGGGAGGAAACCCCGUAGGUCCGGCUAACGGCUGCAUCCUGUCAGCUCCAGCCUGCGGAGUGUUUAUGGUGAUGCAGAUAUCGUUACGGGUGAUGGAGAUUGAAAAACCGACUGAAAGUCCAGAACUGUGCCGGGGUUACUGAUUGAUGCCAGAACACAAGGUGGAUUACAUCGGCAGACACACAGGUUAUAGCUGAUGCUUUUACCACUACUCAGUGAAGACAGCACAAAGAUUCCUAAAGCCAACGGUAAGGAGGUCAAAG